UACGUAGGUGGCGAGCGUUGUCCGGAUUUACUGGGCGUAAAGAGCGCGCAGGCGGUCGUACAAGUCGGGUGUGAAAGCCCCUGGCUCAACUGGGGAGGGUCACGCGAUACUGUUCGACUUGAAGGCAGGAGAGGGAAGUGGAAUUCCCGGUGUAGUGGUGAAAUGCGUAGAUAUCAGGAGGAACACCGGUGGCGAAGGCGGGUCUCUGGGCCGAUACUGACGCUGAGGAGCGAAAGCGUGGGGAGCGAACAGG
rnacentral:rRNA from 1 species